rnacentral:misc_RNA from 1 species
AAGUCGUAAUCAAGGUUUCCGUAGGUCAAGUUUAGCCUGCCACAGCGGGUCAAACCUCGCUAGUCUCCGCUGGAGGCGACACGCUCGACCUGUGGGAAGGCCCGUCCCGGGAAACUCCACAGCCCACUUCCCUCGCCCGGAAGUCGGUUUAGAGGCUCAACGAGCGUGGGUGCUGAUCUCAGCGCUUGAGAUAGAGUCCGUCCCAGCUGGUAACCGCUGGGGGCCGAACGGAACCUGCGGAAGGAUCAUUACAGAAUUGACGGCUUUGGCGAAGCCAGAUUCUCACCCCGGUGUAUACACUACGCGCUGUUUCUUUGGCGGGCCGCUGGCCCCUGCCCGUAGGGGCAAAAAAGCCCCUUUGAAAUCUCCUGAGUCUGGCCGAUAAAAUUAGUCAAA